CGCGUGGAUAUCUGCCUUUUGGUUCGGGAUAACCUUGGGAAACUAGGGCUAAUACCGAAUGGUUCCUACGGGAUAAAGAUUUAUCGCCAAAAGAUGAGUCCGCGUCCGAUUAGCUAGUUGGUGAGGUAAUGGCUCACCAAGGCGACGAUCGGUAGCUGGUCUGAGAGGACGAUCAGCCACACUGGGACUGAGACACGGCCCAGACUCCUACGGGAGGCAGCAGUGGGGAAUAUUGGACAAUGGGGGCAACCCUGAUCCAGCCAUGCCGCGUGAGUGAUGAAGGCCUUCGGGUUGUAAAGC
rnacentral:rRNA from 1 species